AGGUGUGAUCAUACCAGCACUAAUGCACCAGAUCCCAUCAGAACUUUGAGGAUAUACGUGCUUCAGCGAGAGUAGUACUAGGAUGGUUGACAUCCUGGUAAUUCCUCGUGUUGCACCUC
rfam:Lupinus angustifolius cultivar Tanjil contig_1834, whole genome shotgun sequence.